rnacentral:rRNA from 1 species
UAAUCAUAGGUCAGCAUACCUAUGGUGAAUACGUUCCCGGGCCUUGUACACACCGCCCGUCACACCAUGAGAGUUGAGAAUACCCGAAGCCCAUGUCAAAGUGGUCGAAGGUAGGCUUGAUGAUUGGGGUGAAGUCGUAACAAGGUAAC